AUUCCGCGCCGCAGCCGAGCAGGGAGAGCCGCCGCGCGGGCAGCACGAAGUGGGAACCAAGAAUCUGAAUCUGUAAUGAGGUUGCAGCCUUCGUGCAGUCUGAGCGUUUUCCAUCCCCUGGGUGCACAAAGCCAGCACAGCCUCGGUGUGCGCAUGACGUGGUGCUUGCAUUGCCAGAAGCCUUUAUAACAAAGCCCCAAUAACAAUGAUUAGACAUCUUGAAACUGCAGAAUGUCGCUGUUGUGCUGUGUGUUCCUGCUCUCCUUUGGGCAUUCGGAGCUCUGCAGUGGCCCCAAGAGGAGUACCCCUGGCUCCAGGCACCUGUCAGAGCCCAGCUUCUGGUCUGCUGCUUUUUACAGUUAUUUAUUACACUCUCCUUGCACUGGUUGUAAGUAGUGGUACUGCCUUGAGGUUUUGGGGAAGUGUGUAGUAGUUCUAUCAAAGCAGCAGACACAGUGUGGGUGUUACAGGACUGCCAGCCCUUUGCACAGGGUGCCUGGUGCACAAGCGUGCAAGGCAGAGCUCUGUCAGCCACCUGUCACCAGCAACCUGGAAGGAGUCAUCGCUGAAUCAUAGAAAAUGAUAAAUGUCUCUGUCUGAUAUGAAACAACAUAUGGGGACCGGCUCUGCCCUCCUCAAAAAGGCAAACAGAACAAAAACCCUUAUCCGAAGCUGAAACAUCAAAGAACCAAAAUAACGACCUAAGCUAUUUAAGAUAUAACUUUUCUGGGCCAUUACUCCACAUCCAUCUUAUUUCCCAGGGUUUUAAAUUCUGGCCUGCAUGCUUUUUCCUCCCAGGAUACAUCUCAAAUUGUUUGGUCACAAAUGCCCCGAAUAACAAAUUGACUUAAUUUAGAUGGCAUUAAAGCUCUUUAACCCAUUUCAAAGGGCAGGGAUGCACUGGAGACCUCCAGGCAUGCAUUUCAAUUAAGGCGGUAAGGAUAUAUAUUUCUUUUCCUUGCCUGAAAACGCCUGACAAUUUUAUCUGUGCAUCAGAUGAAAGUUGAGGGGGAAAGGUUUCUGUUAGUCUUGUUGGGAGUUGGCCAGAAAAAUGUGAAGAAUGUAGAAAGGAAUUAACAGCUGGUGUCCAUUUAAAACUUCAGAGAGGGCAAAGAGGCAGAACGCUUGGCUUUACCUGCUGUCUUCCUCUGGUUUGUGCCCGCGUGCUCCUUGAAGGUCAGUCGAGAAGUGAAGUGCGCUGUGUGCAUCUGGAGGCCUUAAUUCUUCUGCCCAGGGGUGAAAGAGGGAGUGAGGUGCUUUGCUUCCCCCCUUUGGGAACCAGCACUUUGAGCUACAUGUGGUUAACUCCAAUGACAAAUGUUGUUGGCCUGGGAGGAAACAGUACCUUCCACUAUGUAACCUGUUGCUUGACUUGGGGGGCUACUGCCAUUUUUCCCUUCUACCGGAGAAGGAUCAUUCAGCAAAUAGCUUUCAGCGGUGUUUCUGCUUUUGCACAGACAAAAUGCAAAGAGGACCUUGACUCAAAAGGGAUAUGACUGCAGAGCUUUGAAAUGGAGUCCUGUGCUCAGUGCUGCAACAGCUGCGGGUGCUGGGCUGUGCUGGCUGGGCUUUGUGCACAACAGCAUGCUGCCUCUGGUGUGGAGACACAGUCGGCCUGGCCUGCUCUCUCUGCGGCUCAACCCAAGGGCUCCUGUCUUCCCAGCACCAUGCUGCAGAAAACUGUUUUUCCAAACAAUGCUUUGGUGUUUAAAGAAGUGUUGGCAUGCUGGAAGCUACACUGAGUGCUGUCUGUUGUAAUCUCACCCAAAUAAAAAUUGUCCCAUU
ensembl:lncRNA